rnacentral:rRNA from 1 species
AACGAACGCUGGCGGCAUGCCUAACACAUGCAAGUCGAACGAGACCUUCGGGUCUAGUGGCGCACGGGUGCGUAACGCGUGGGAAUCUGCCCUUCGGUUGGGAAUAACUGAGAGAAAUUUCAGCUAAUACCUUAUAAUGUCUUCGGACCAAAGAUUUAUCGCCGAGGGAUGAGCCCGCGUAGGAUUAGGUAGUUGGUGGGGUAAUGGCCUACCAAGCCGACGAUCCUUAGCUGGUCUGAGAGGAUGAUCAGCCACACUGGGACUGAGACACGGCCCAGACUCCUACGGGAGGCAGCAGUGGGGAAUAUUGGACAAUGGGCGAAAGCCUGAUCCAGCAAUGCCGCGUAAGUGAUGAAGGCCUUAGGGUUGUAAAGCUCUUUUACCCGGGAUGAUAAUGACAGUACCGGGAGAAUAAGCUCCGGCUAACUCCGUG